rnacentral:lncRNA from 1 species
GCCACAUCACUCUGACCUCGGCUUCUGUAAUCACAUUUUCUUCUCUGACUCUGCCUCUCCUGCCACCUUCUUUUCCUUGAGGACUCUGGUGAUGACAUUGGGCUUACAUAAAUAAUCCAGAAUAAUCUCGCCAUCAAGAUCCUUACAUUAAUCCCAUCUGCCAAGUCCUCUACGCCAGCCCAGCACCAGGAUUAAAAGGCAUCAGGUCCCAGGAUGGACACACCUCUCCCCGCUCUUUCCGCAACAGAGACAGGAAGGUGGUAUUGGCAAACUUCUCCCAAAGACGUGGUGGCUCACCCAGGAGAGCAGCCCCGGGCAGGCGGGGUCCCAGGCCUGGAGAGGUCUGUAGAGGUUGGCAGGACCAGGGAUUCCCAAACGCGUCAAGCAGCAGAAGCCUCAUAGAAGAUCAAAGUCCGCUUGGAAGUCUCGUGCGGAAGUGGCAUUGUACCACCAGACCGUGUGUGCGUUUAAAAACAGUGCUUCCCAAUUACCGCAGAAGAUGAACUACGAGGCAGGUUUAAAACUGUCAAAGCAGUUUAGAUUUCUAAGCCACAAGUGAUAAAAUAUUUAAAUGUGUUUGGUAAGUUCGAACAUAGAACAUUUACUUGUUGUAAAGGCACCGUGAUGACAGCCCUGAGGCGGCUUUUAUGAACACAAACACAAAAAGCAAAGUUGUAAUCAUUUAAGUCUCAGCAUCCAAUUUAUUUCUGUGUUACCUUUGCUUGCUCAGGUUUGAGAAGAAUCUGGGUUUGCAAGGAUAAGUGGCUUAAAGAGCUCACCUGGAAAUCUCAGGGUACUCUUAGAUUCAAGAAUUUGAUUCAUUCAUCCACCCAACAAAUAGUUAUUGAGUGUCUAGUAGGUGUCAGGCAUUCUGCUGAGGUUUGAACAAUAAGGAGGACUAUUUGUUUCAGUCUAAGUUACUAAGAUAACAAUUAUUCCCUUCGUCAUUGUGAGUGUAAGUCAAAUGAAAAGAUUCAAGCUUAUAAUAAGCACCACUUCUCUCUGUAGUAUCCUAUUAUGAUAUUGCAACAGGCGUGUGCAACUGCUUAACAGAGAGGCUCAUGC